UACGUAGGGUGCGAGCGUUUGUCCGGAAUUAUUGGGCGUAAAGAGCUUGUAGGUGGUUUGUCGCGUCUGCUGUGAAAAUCCGAGGCUCAACCUCGACUUGCAGUGGGUACGGGCAGACUAGAGUGUGGUAGGGGAGACUGGAAUUCCGUGGUGUAGCGGUGGAAUGCGCAGAUAUCAGGAGGAACACCGAUCGGCGAAGGCAGGU
rnacentral:rRNA from 1 species